rnacentral:rRNA from 1 species
CAGUCGCCACGGUAAUACGAGGGGGGCAAGCGUUGUUCGGAAUUAUUGGGCGUAAAGGGUGCGUAGGCGGUUUGGCAAGUUUGGUGUGAAAUCUUCGGGCUCAACUCGAAGUCUGCAUCGAAAACUGCCGGGCUUGAGUAUGGUAGAGGGUGGUGGAAUUUCCUGUGUAGCGGUGAAAUGCGUAGAUAUAGGAAGGAACAUCAGUGGCGAAGGCGACCACCUGGACUGAUACUGACACUGAGGUGCGAAAGCGUGGGGAGCAAACAGGAUUAGAUACCCCAGUAGUCCCUGUCUCUUAUAC